UAAUUUAGGGUAAAAUUUGCCCAUUUCUGUAAUAUUUUAAAAAAAAUGGUUAAUUUUGAUUUUUUUUUAAAAAUUCUGGAUAUUUAAAAAAAAAAUUCACGAAAUGAAUCGUGAUCUCUCACGAGCUUCAAUCAGAACUCAGAAUCCGAUCCUCUCACAGAGGAAUCCCGAAUCUAAAACUGACUCGACAAUGACGACGCACAGUGAAUCGAUGGAUUACCUAAUCGCGAAGGUGACCGUGUGGAACUGACGAGAAGGAGGGACGUGAACUCACGAGUGCAGCUCCUUUGAAAUCUCUUCUAUCCUCUCUUCUGUCCGGCGGUGAUGGUCGAAGAUCCACAGUUCAAUUCGUCGGUAUUGUUGUAGUGCGGCGAGCGGGAAGCAUGGCGUGAGAAGAAGAAGAUAGGCUUUCCGGAAUCCAAAUCGAGGGAACCCCUAAAUAAGACAGUAACCACCUGUUUAUAUAGACUUUGAAACGUGAUUUACAUCUGCAUUUUGGAUCCGCUUGCGUCAUUCAUUGGAUUUUUGAUUGCUUUGCAAAUUCGAAUGUCGUUUACGAGUUAUUACUGCAGUUUAUUUGUUUUUACUUUAUUUUUAAUUAUUUCCACCGUGUUUUGACGCAGCUUGGAGUCGUGAGCUUGGCCUGCGACUUGCGUUUCUCUGUGUUUUUGGAGUUUGAAGCUUGUCUUAUGCAGCUUGCAUUUCUCUGUGUUGUUUUCAUUGGCUUGUGAAUGAGUCGUUCUGCUAUGCAGUUGUUGUAGCUUGGGUUUCCAUCCGUUUUGAUUUCGCAGCUGCCGUUGAUGGCUUUUUGAAUGACAUCGUGAGCUUCGCGUGCAGCUAAUAGUAGUUGAUUUGUCGUUUUGGAUUUCCAUUCAAAUAGCCCACUACAUUUUGAUGUCUAAUGCCGUUUACAGGUUUGCUUGCUGGCGUUUACGUGCUUAUAAUUUCCGUUAACUUCACUGCCAGCUUGUAUUCAAUUUGGUUGCUCAUGGUUGUUGUUAGCUUUAUAACUUGGAUGUUCUUGUGCGCAACGGCUAGGUGCAGCGUUCGAAAUUGGCUUCGCUGAAGCUUGCGUUUGGUUGGUUUGUGGCUUAGCAGCUAUGUUCGUGUUUUUACUGCUAGCUAGCUCGUACUGCAGCUUUUGAAGCUUCACUUUGGACUGUUAUACUGCCACUGCAUUGUCGUUUGGAUUUGGUUCGGUGCAUUUGGAAGUGUAGCUCGUUGUAACAGCUUCGUUGGCUUGUGCGCUGUAAUUGUUUUUCCUGCUGCGUUCUGCAGCUUUUGAAUGUUGUAGCAGCUGCAUUUUGCAGCUUUUGAAGUGUUGGCUGCUAAGCUUUGUUUCACUUUCCACUUGCUUUGUCUCAUUAGGCUAUGUACUUUAAAUGAAUAAUUGAAUUGGCUAAUGG
rnacentral:lncRNA from 1 species